UACGUAGGGUGCAAGCGUUAAUCGGAAUUACUGGGCGUAAAGCGUGCGCAGGCGGUUUUGUAAGUCUGACGUGAAAUCCCCGGGCUCAACCUGGGAAUUGCGUUGGAGACUGCAAGGCUAGAAUCUGGCAGAGGGGGGUAGAAUUCCACGUGUAGCAGUGAAAUGCGUAGAGAUGUGGAGGAACACCGAUGGCGAAGGCAGCCCCCUGGGUCAAGAUUGACGCUCAUGCACGAAAGGCGUGGGGAGCAAACAGG
rnacentral:rRNA from 1 species